rnacentral:rRNA from 1 species
UACGGAGGGUGCAAGCAUUAAUCGGAUUUAUUGGGCGUAAAGGGCGCGUAGGCGGGAAUGAUAGUCAGAUGUGAAAUCCUGGGGCUCAACCCCAGAACAGCAUUUGAAACUGUAUUUCUUGAGGUUAGGCGGAGAAAACGGAAUUCCACAUGUAGCGGUGAAAUGCGUAGAUAUGUGGAGGAACACCGGUGGCGAAGGCGGUUUUCUAGCUUAGUCCUGACGCUGAGGCGCGAAAGCAAGGGGAUCAAACAGG